rnacentral:rRNA from 1 species
CAGCCGCCACGGGAAUACGAAGGGGGCUAGCGUUGCUCGGAAUGACUGGGCGUAAAGGGCGCGUAGGCGGAUUGCUUUGUCAGAUGUGAAAUUCCAGGGCUUAACCUUGGGGCUGCAUUUGAGACGGGUGAUCUAGAGUGGAGAAGAGGGUCGUGGAAUUCCCAGUGUAGAGGUGAAAUUCGUAGAUAUUGGGAAGAACACCGGUGGCGAAGGCGGCGACCUGGUCUUUUACUGACGCUGAGGCGCGAAAGCGUGGGGAGCAAACAGGAUUAGAUACCCCUGUAGUCCCUGUCUCUUAUAC